AUUAAUACUAGAUACUCCUUCUGAUUCUAAUUUCAGUCGGGAAAGUUUUUCGCUAAGAGAUCGGUCUAUAUCCCAUCAGCUUGUUGGUAGUGUAAGAGACUACCAAGGCUAUGACGGGUAGCGGGUUUGAGAGGAUGAUCCGCCACACUGGUACUGAGACACGGACCAGACUCCUACGGGAGGCAGCAGUGAGGAAUAUUGCACAAUGGAGGAAACUCUGAUGCAGCAACGCCGCGUGGAGGAUGACGCAUUUCGGUGUGUAAACUCCUUUUAUAUGUCAAGAAAAUGACGGUAGCAUAUGAAUAAGCACCGGCUAACUCCGUGCCAGCAGCCGCGGUAAUACGGAGGGUGCAAGCGUUAUUCGGAAUCACUGGGCGUAAAGGACGCGUAGGCGGGAUAGUAAGUCUGAUGUGAAAUCCUAUGGCUUAACCAUAGAACUGCAUUGGAAACUACUAACCUAGAGUAUGGGAGGGGGAGAUGGAAUUAGUGGUGUAGGGGUAAAAUCCGUAGAUAUCACUAGGAAUACCGAAAGCGAAGGCGAUCUCCUGGAACAUUACUGACGCUAAGGCGUGAAAGCGUGGGGAGCAAACAGGAUUAAAUACCCUGGUAGUCCACGCCCUAAACGAUGAACACUAGUCGUCGGGAUGCUAGUCAUCUCGGUGAUGCACUUAACAGAUUAAGUGUUCCGCCUGGGGAGUACGGUCGCAAGAUUAAAACUCAAAGGAAAUAGACGGGGGACCCGCACA
rnacentral:rRNA from 1 species